rnacentral:rRNA from 1 species
GACGAACCGUGCAAACGUUAUUCGGAAUCACUGGGCAUAAAGGGCGCGUAGGCGGCUUCAUAAGUCAGGGGUGAAAUCCGGCAGCUUAACUGUCGCAGUGCCUUUGAUACUGUGGAGCUCGAGGGAGGUAGGGGUCUGUGGAACUUCCGGUGGAGCGGUGAAAUGCGUUGAGAUCGGCAGGAACGCCGACGGCGAAAGCAGGGUCCUGGACUCUCACUGACGUUGAGGCGCGAAAGCCAGGGGAGCGAACGGG